rnacentral:rRNA from 1 species
UGGGGAAUCUUGCGCAAUGGGCGAAAGCCUGACGCAGCGACGCCGCGUGAGUGAUGAAGGCCUUCGGGUUGUAAAGCUCUGUGGAGAGGGACGAAUAAGUGUUGGCUAACAUCCAGCAUGAUGACGGUACCUCUUUAGCAAGCACCGGCUAACUCUGUGCCAGCAGCCGCGGUAAGACAGAGGGUGCAAACGUUGUUCGGAAUUACUGGGCGUAAAGCGCGUGUAGGCUGCUCCGAAAGUCGGAUGUGAAAGCCCCGGGCUCAACCUGGGAAGUGCACUCGAAACUUCGGAGCUGGAGUCCUGGAGAGGAAGGCGGAAUUCUCGGUGUAGAGGUGAAAUUCGUAGAUAUCGAGAGGAACACCGGUGGCGAAGGCGGCCUUCUGGACAGUGACUGACGCUGAGACGCGAAAGCGUGGGGAGCAAACAGGAUUAGAUACCCCUGUAGUCC